CCGGUUUCUCAUCUAUUCCACCCUCCCUGGUGCCAGUUGCCAGGGCCCUAGACAAGCGGGGCUUUCUGGAAGCUUCCUGGGAGAGAGACCACUGUAGAAGGGGCUGAUUCCAAAUGGCGACUGGUGAGAGAAGGAGUACACAGCCACCCCUCUCCCACAAUGCAUAAAUGAAGUGUGAAAGUGCCUGGUGUGGUGUGUACACCUGCCAUCUCAAUGCCCUAGAGGUGGAGGCAGCAAGGUCAGCUAUGCGUUCUGGGGAAUGGAACCUGGGGCCUUGGGCAUGAUAGGUGAGGACUUUCCAUUGAGCCACACCACUAUCUCCCUUGGGAAAUUGAAGCAACGUAAGUUAUUAUCAAGUGAUUUCAAGUUAUUAUCAUCCCAACUCAGAACAUCUGGAAGAGAGAAAACUCUAGAGACUGUGGAAAGGUAAGGGGGCUGUCAGAGGUUUAAAGAAAGAGAGUUGACCAUGACAGGUAGCUCUAAUGGUGACAAGUGGCAUAUACAUUUGUCAAAAUGACCACAGAAUGUGCAAGUGAAUGCCACUGUAAAUAUGGACUCUGGGGGCCAGUGGUGGAUCAUGUAGGUUCAUCCAUUAUUAUACUCAACACACCAUUCUGCUGUGGGAGUGUGAUUCGGAGAGAAGUUAUAUGGGAAAUUCCAUCUUUCUGAUUCAAUAUUGCUGUAAACCUAAUAUUUCUAUUUAAAAGUAGUCUAUUUUUGAGAA